CAGCCGCCGCGGGAAUACGUAGGUGGCAAGCGCUGUCCGGAAUUAUUGGGCGUAAAGGGCUCGCAGGCGGUUUCUUAAGUCUGAUGUGAAAGCCCCCGGCUCAACCGGGGAGGGUCAUUGGAAACUGGGAAACUUGAGUGCAGAAGAGGAGAGUGGAAUUCCACGUGUAGCGGUGAAAUGCGUAGAGAUGUGGAGGAACACCAGUGGCGAAGGCGACUCCCUGGUCUGCAACUGACGCUGAGGAGCGAAAGCGUGGGGAGCGAACAGGAUUAGAUACCCCUGUAGUCCCUGUCUCUUAUAC
rnacentral:rRNA from 1 species